GACACGGGGAUCCAGACUGAUGGGUAGAACCCACCUCUGGCUCCAGAAGUCAGUAUCCUGUGACCAGAGCAGUUGGCAACUCGUGGAGAGUGACCAAAGCCACGUCAAUGAACACCUUCCCUGGGACCCUUUUGGCCAGGAGAGAGGUACCACCAGCACCUAAUGGGUAGAGGCUGAGGCUGAGGAUACACAUUCUACAAAGAAGAACAGUCCCCACAACGGAGAAUGAUCCUGCCCCAAAUGUCAACAGUGCUGACGCUGAGAAACCCUGCCUCAGUCUGUGCGGCCGCACAAAGCCAGGUUGAGCAGGGAUUUUAGCUCUUGUCACUAAAGCUUCAGGGAACUCUGAAGAGAGAUGGAUUGUCUCCAAGAUUCUUCUGGCUCGGACAUCCCCUCGGUCUGUAAACGGAACAGGCACGCUC